GUUGGCUGGUAGGAGGUGCUGCAGAGAGACCCCUACCUGGCUCUCAUCCUCUCUCAGUGGCAAGUCCAUCUAGUUCAGACUCAGACAGGUGGAAGAAGUCAGCUCCUAGCUAGGGUAUAAUGAAGCAUGAUGGAAGUAUUUGACCCAGUGGCUCUUCUAUACCCAGGAGGCCCUGACUGCCACAUUCACCAGUUGAUUUUCCAGUUAAGAGAAGAAAGAGCCAAGAGUUGUUAGUAGCAGUUUCGGCUUCCAUUGUGAAAAUAAGUUAUCUUCACUGUGAGAAUUCUCCAUGGGACUCAGGGCAAAUCCAG
rnacentral:lncRNA from 1 species